rnacentral:rRNA from 1 species
GACGAACGCUGGCGGCGUGCUUAACACAUGCAAGUCGAACGAAGAGCGACGGAAGCUUGCUUCUAUCAAUCUUAGUGGCGAACGGGUGAGUAACGCGUAAUCAACCUGCCCUUCAGAGGGGGACAACAGUUGGAAACGACUGCUAAUACCGCAUACGAUCUAAUCUCGGCAUCGAGGAUGGAUGAAAGGUGGCCUCUACAUGUAAGCUAUCACUGAAGGAGGGGAUUGCGUCUGAUUAGCUAGUUGGAGGGGUAACGGCCCACCAAGGCGAUGAUCAGUAGCCGGUCUGAGAGGAUGAACGGCCACAUUGGGACUGAGACACGGCCCAGACUCCUACGGGAGGCAGCAGUGGGGAAUCUUCCGCAAUGGACGAAAGUCUGACGGAGCAGCGCCGCGUGAGUGAUGACGGCCUUCGGGUUGUGAAGCUCUGUUAAUCGGGACGAAAGGCCUUCUUGCGAAUAGGGAGAAGGAUUGACGGUACCGGAAUAGAAAGCCACGGCUAACUACGUG